GGCUCAGAUUGAACGCUGGCGGCAGGCCUAACACAUGCAAGUCGAACGGUAACAGGAAGCAGCUUGCUGCUUUGCUGACGAGUGGCGGACGGGUGAGUAAUGUCUGGGAAACUGCCUGAUGGAGGGGGAUAACUACUGGAAACGGUGGCUAAUACCGCAUAACGUCGCAAGACCAAAGAGGGGGACCUUCGGGCCUCUUGCCAUCAGAUGUGCCCAGAUGGGAUUAGCUUGUUGGUGAGGUAACGGCUCACCAAGGCGACGAUCCCUAGCUGGUCUGAGAGGAUGACCAGCCACACUGGAACUGAGACACGGUCCAGACUCCUACGGGAGGCAGCAGUGGGGAAUAUUGCACAAUGGGCGCAAGCCUGAUGCAGCCAUGCCGCGUGUAUGAAGAAGGCCUUCGGGUUGUAAAGUACUUUCAGCGGGGAGGAAGGUGUUGUGGUUAAUAACCGCAGCAAUUGACGUUACCCGCAGAAGAAGCACCGGCUA
rnacentral:rRNA from 1 species